GCCCUGACCCACCGGGAGGCAGGGGCUGCGGCGGCGCCGACCAGAGGAGCCCGUGUCCGGGCGACACGGGGACACCGAGCCCCCGCCAGCGCUGUUCGCCCUUUGCCCGCAGAGCCGGCGCCCCCCAUGCGCCAGGCAGCCGAUCGGUGGCGUCUGGGGGCGCCAUGGCCUCGGCGACCGCGGCGGCGGCGCCGGGCGAAGCGGAGGAGACCACCCGGCUCCGCAAGCCGCGCUUCUCCUUCGAGGAGAACCAGAUCUUGAUCCGGGAGGUGCGCGCCCACUACCCUCAACUCUACGGCGCGCAGAGCCGUCGGGUGAGCGUGGCCGAGCGGCGGCGAGUGUGGGACAGCAUCGCCACCAAGAUCAACGGCAUCACCAGCUGGAAGCGCACCGGCCAGGAGGUUCAGAAGCGUUGGAACGACUUCAAGCGCCGCACCAAGGAGAAGCUGGCCCGCGUGCCGCAUUCCACGCAGGGCGCGGGGCCCGCCGCCGAGGACGCCUUCUCCGCGGAGGAGGAGACUAUUUUCGCCAUCCUGGGGCCGGGUGUGGCGGGGCCCGGGGCUGGCGCUGGGGCUGAGGAGUCCCCGGCAGCCGCCUCUUCACAGCCGCAGGCUUCAACCGCUAGUACACAACGGUAUGUGUUGUCAGAGGACCGCAGGCAGGAUCGACGGGCAGAUACACCAGCCCAGAGCAAGGGAGGCUCCAGCAGCCCAGAGUCCUGGGCCCGGCCCUCUUGCAACCCCCAGGAAGCCAAGGAGCGUGAGUCCCCGUCCCCUGCAGCCAUGCAGCCUGUCCAGCUGCCCCGCCUGGCCUUGUCUCCACCCCUCCCUGCCCCUCCACCGCCACCCACGGCGCUGGCCCAAGUGGCACCCUCAUCUCCUAGCCCAACUCCUCCUCGGCCCACCUCAGCCCCAGAACAGUCCCUGGACUUCCUGCGGGCUCAGCAGGAGACUGCCAAUGCCAUCAGGGAGCUGGCUGGCACCCUCCGGCAGGGACUGGCCAAACUGAGCGAGGCCCUCAGCGCCCUGUUACCCCUUCUGCCGGGAACCCCAGCUGACCCGCAGCCCCCGCCCCCGCCGCCACCUCCGCCGCCACCUCCCAAGCCAGUCCUCCCACCACCUGCCCCCAAGGUGGAGCUGGCCCCAGAGCCUGUGUCUGUGGUAGCUGCUGUUGUGGAUGGGGCUGUAGUGGCAGCUAGGGGAGUGAUCAUCUCCCCUAGGAGCGAGGAAGGGGUGCCCAAACCACCCCCAGUCGCACCACUUCCCCUCCACGACUCACCCCCUCACAAAAGGAGGAAAGGCUUCCCUACGCGAAAGAGGCGGGGCCGCUGGAAGUCUCCGUGAAAUCUAACCCUGUCCACGCUCCUGCCUGCAACCCUCUCCCUGCUUGGCACAGUCGAGGAGGAAGAUGCUCUUUGCCUAUCCCAGCUGCACCCUGGCUUCCUGCUCAAGGGAAGUGAGCACCCCACUUCCUGUGCUAGUUAGUGCCUGAUUCUCUGGGUGAGUCCCCGGGCGGACUCCCUCAGCCCCUUUCUCUGGUACAGUGGUGUCCGCCCGACUGCCUCCUGUAACCCCAUCUUCUAAGCCAUCAAUUUUAUGUUACUAUAUUGCCCUUUGUGGGGUGGGAGAGGGAUCUCCUGGCUCUGCGACUUGCCCCUUUGCCGAAUAGUUACUGUUCUUGACUUGAAGAGAAGCAACGUGUGGGGACCUCCCCACUGCCCCAGCCCAGACUUCUUCGGAAGGGUUGGAAGUUGCUAGACAAAUCAGAAUGUAGAAGGUGGAGGAUUCUGAGGAGGAGGCAGCAGAAUUCUGACUGGGGAGGUAUAGGUUGGGUCCUCUGCCUCCCACGGCUGCAAGGUGUGUCUGACCUCUGGAGCUCAGCCCCUCCCCCCUUUCUCUUCAGUGCUGACAAGAUGUCAAUAAACUUAUUUUCAUACAAU
rnacentral:lncRNA from 1 species